GACGAACGCUGGCGGCGUGCCUAAUACAUGCAAGUAGAACGCUGAAGAGAGGAGCUUGCUCUUCUUGGAUGAGUUGCGAACGGGUGAGUAACGCGUAGGUAACCUGCCUUGUAGCGGGGGAUAACUAUUGGAAACGAUAGCUAAUACCGCAUAACAAUGGAUGACACAUGUCAUUUAUUUGUAAGGGGCAAUUGCUCCACUACAAGAUGGACCUGCGUUGUAUUAGCUAGUAGGUGAGGUAACGGCUCACCUAGGCGACGAUACAUAGCCGACCUGAGAGGGUGAUCGGCCACACUGGGACUGAGACACGGCCCAGACUCCUACGGGAGGCAGCAGUAGGGAAUCUUCGGCAAUGGGGGCGACCCUGACCGAGCAACGCCGCGUGAGUGAAGAAGGUUUUCGGAUCGUAAAGCUCUGUUGUAAGUCAAGAACGAGUGUGAGAGUGGAAAGUUCACACUGUGACGGUAGCUUACCAGAAAGGGACGGCUAACUACGUG
rnacentral:rRNA from 1 species